UACAGAGGGUGCGAGCGUUGUCCGGAAUCACUGGGCGUAAAGGGCGCGUAGGCGGUCCGGUAAGCGUGUGGUGAAAGCUCGGGGCUCAACCCCGAGUCGGCCAUGCGAACUGCGGGACUGGAGCAUGUCAGAGGCAGGCGGAAUUCCGGGUGUAGCGGUGGAAUGCGUAGAGAUCCGGAAGAACACCGGUGGCGAAGGCGGCCUGCUGGGACAUUGCUGACGCUGAGGCGCGACAGCGUGGGGAGCAAAC
rnacentral:rRNA from 1 species